GUCAAGGACUUUGAUAUGUCGGCCCAGCAACAGGAGACCAAUAUGCCUGAAGGACGCGCACAUCGUGUUCGACGCAGCAACCCUCGCGUGUAUGGGCCGGAGUGGGUCUAGAGUCCAGUUGGUCUGGUGUAGGCACGACCUGGGAUAUAUAAUCCUUGUACUGUGCCUGAGGACGGCAAGCAAAAACAUAUUCCUGUAAUAAUAGACUGCCUAGCCUCCUCCGUCUUUCUCCGUCUCUCUCUCUCUGCUUCCUGUGUGCUUCCAUUCUGUUAGAUAGGCUAACAUUUGGUAUCAGAAGUCCGUCGAUCCUUGGAUCUCGCAUGGCGACCACAGGCGCAGUUGAUGCCCAGCUCACCCUCGCGUUGGAAUCUCAAACGCGCUCCCUGCUGUCUGAAUUGGACAAGCGCAUCCAUGCCAUCGACUCCAAGUGGGCAAACCGCGUGGGAAUCCUGGAGACUCAAGUUGCCGAUUCCACCAGGCGUUUGGAGUCGUUCUCUAGGGGGAUCCAUGAAGACCUGGAGGCCCGUUUGGUGACAGCCGAUGAAGCCGUGGAUGAUCGGAUCCGCUAUCUGGAGGCGAGUACGAUCUCCCGUGUCGCGGCGCUCGAGUCGUCUUCUCAAGCCGUUGAGCUCUGGCGGCCCCAAAUCGAUGCGUCGAUUGACGGGCUCUAUGCCAACAUCCAGACGAUUCGCGCCGACAUCGCGCAGAUCGUGACCCAACAACCUUCCAACAGCCGUUCCGGCGGGUUCGGCGCAGCCGGCAUCCUCGGAACCCCCAGAUCGGUGAUUGGGCGUUCCCCUGCUACCUUCGACAACACCGAUUGCUCAUGUUUUGGGCCCGGCGCUGCAAUCUCUCACCGGGACAGUGGUAUUGGGUAUAAUCAAUCCAAUUUCCGCUGCCCGGUCACGGGUGCGUGGAACAAUCCUUCUCCUCCUUCGUUUACGUUUCCUACUCAGUAUGAUCAUAGUGGCCAUGUUCCCUUGCACCGUCAGUUAGGGGGUUUGCCCAAGCUUUCAUUUCCCAAGUUUGAUGGCACUAGCCCAAAAUUAUGGCAGAAACGAUGCGAGGAUUAUUUUGCUAUGUAUGCCACUGAAAUCACUGUUUGGGUCAGAGUAGCGUCCAUGCACUUUGAGGGGGUUGCUGGGCGUUGGUUUCAGUCUAUUGAACCACAAGUGUCUUCCUGGUCAUGGCAACAGUUUUGUCAAGCUGUGCACGAUCGUUUUGGGCGUGAACAACACAAGCUUGUUAUUCGCAAGCUGUUCCAUAUCCGUCAGACAUCUUCGGUCCAGGAUUAUGUUGAUCGUUUUUGUGAACUUAUUGAUGUCCUUGUCACCUAUGAGCACACUACAGAUCCUUUGUAUUAUACCAUGAAAUUCAUUGAUGGCCUCCGUGACGAUAUUAAAUCUGUUAUAUUGGUUCAACGCCCCAGUACUUUGGAUACUGCCUGCGCUCUUGCUUUGUUACAGGAAGAGGCAGAUUCAUCCCGGCGUCGUGAGCAUCGUGGGUCGGAGGGUACGUUCCCAGGGCGUUCAUAUCCGAAGUUACCUGCUCCUCCUCCUCCCAGGUGGGAUAAAUCGCUGGGAGGGGAAACUGUCGCCACCAAGCCUGUGGUCCCUCAGCCGGGUUCUUCUACUGACAAGCUCGCAUCCCUUCGUGCUUAUCGUCGUGCCCGAGGUCUGUGUCAAUAUUGCGCUGAAAAAUGGGACAAGGGUCACAAGUGCGCUCAGACAGUUCAGCUGCAUGCUAUCCAGGAAGUAUGGGAUCUGUUGAAUCCGGAACUCACCGGAUCAGAAGGUGAUUUCGAAGAUUCCACGGAUCAGUUCAUGAUGUUAUUGUCCCGGGAGGCCAGUUCUCCAAAAACUGCAUAUUCUACGUUCAAACUUCAAGGGUAUAUCCAAGGAAUUCCACUGCUGAUUUUGUUGGACUCCGGAAGUUCUCAUUCCUUUUUGAAUGUGGUUCACAGCUCCUCUCUGCAGGGUGUCGCCUCCCUGGCUCAGCCCCUGUCAGUUAGAGUUGCUAAUGGAAAUAUUAUAAAUUGUACCAGUCACCUCUCCAAUGCGGUUUGGUCUGUACAGAACAUUCAGUUUCAGUCAGACUUCAAGAUUAUACCGCUUCCCAACUAUGAUUUGAUUCUUGGUAUGGAUUGGCUUAUCCAGUAUAGCCCGAUGCAUGUUGACUGGAAACACAAAUGGUUAUCCAUUGAAUUUCAAGGACAAUCUACUGUCAUUCAUGGUCUUCAGCCACUAGUUCCUUCAGGAGCCCUGUUGCAGGUCAGACAGGUAGAAGCCACACAUGUACCCUCAUCUGAAUUAUGUCAAGUGUCUGAAUCUGAUUUGCCUGCUUCAGUGCAUCAAUUACUAUGUUCAUAUCAAUCCUUAUUCGAGGAACCCACCACAUUACCUCGAAGCCGAUUUUGUGAUCACACAAUUCCUUUGAUUCCGGGUGCUCGCCCAGUCAACAUGAGGCCGUAUCAUUUUUCCCCAGCAAUGAAAGAUGAGGUGGAAGCACAGGUCAAGGAUAUGUUACGCAGUGGUCUUAUUCAACCUAGCUCUAGUGCCUUUUCGUCACCAGUUAUAUUGGUUAAAAAGAAGGAUCACAGCUGGCGUUUCUGUGUGGACUAUAGGCACCUUAAUGCACUUACAGUGAAGACUAAAUACCCGGUACCUGUGAUUGAUGAGCUCUUGGAUGAACUAUUUGGUGCUUCCUGGUUUUCUAUUCUUGACCUGCGCGCAUGAUUCCACCAGAUUUUGCUCAAGGCUGGUGAAGAGCACAAGACGGCAUUCCAAACUCAUAUGGGACAUUAUGAAUUUCGUGUUAUGGCGUUUGGCCUCACCGGUGCUCCGGGUACAUUUCAGCGAGCUAUGAAUCAAACGUUGUUUCCUCUAUUGCGCAAGUGUGCCCUCGUCUUCUUUGAUGAUAUACUUAUUUACAGUGCAACCUUGGAAGACCAUCUUAAACAUUUACAACAAGUGUUCGAGCUGUUGUCCAGAGAUGCCUGGAAGGUGAAGAUGAACAAGUGUUCUUUUGCACAAAAUCAGGUUUCUUAUUUGGGACAUAUUGUGUCUGCUGCUGGUGUCGCUACAGAUCCUGCCAAAAUCCAAGCUAUAGCUGCCUGGCCAAAACCAGCAAAAUGUCAAGGAAUUACGGAGUUUUCUGGGCCUUGCUGGAUACUAUAGGAAGUUCAUCCGUCACUUUGGGAUCAUUUGCCAUCCCUUGCAUGGGCUGCUCAAGAAGGGAGUUGUAUACGUUUGGACGGACGAUCAUUCCACAGCAUUCCACACCUUGAAAGCAGCUCUAGCAUCAACUCCGGUGCUGGCCUUGCCUGAUUUUUCCUCUCAGUUCACUAUUGAAACUGACGCUAGUUCUUUUGGAAUUGGUGCUGUGCUUAUGCAGAAAGGGCAUCCAUUAUCCUUCUUGAGUAAAGCACUGGGCCCUAAAUGUCACAGACUUUCAGCUUAUGAGAAGGAAUUCAUGGCUAUUCUUGUAGCAGUUCAGCAGUGGCGUCAAUAUUUGCAGCAUGGCGAGUUUAUUAUUCUCACUGAUCACCAGAGUCUGUCCCAGCUCAAUGAGCAACGGUUGCAUACUCCAUGGCAGCAUAAGGUGUUCACUAAACUCUUGGGGCUCCAAUAUAAGAUCAUCUACCGGCAAGGCCAUUCCAAUCGGGUAGCGGAUGCGUUAUCCCGUCGGAUUUCUCCAGAGAUUAAUGUUGGUUCGGAGGUCGUUCCACAAUGGCUCACUGAUGUCCAGAACAGCUAUAGUCAUGAUCCGGCUGCUCAAUCCUUGAUGGCCAAAUUAGCUUUGGAUCCUUCGGCUGUGCCCCACUUUACUCUCACUAAUGGUCUGCUGCGUUAUAAGGGUCGUAUCUGGUUGGGGAAUGACAAAGUUCCGCAACAACGACUGGUGGCUGCUCUUCAUACUUCACCAAUUGGAGGCCACUCUGGCAUUCCUGUUACUUAUAGUCGCCUCAAGAAUCUCUUCGCUUGGAAAAAUAUGAAGACCACAGUCCAACAAUUUAUACAAACUUGCCAGAUAUGCUUACAGGCAAAACCAGACCGGUCAGCAUACCCCGGGAAACUUCAACCCUUACCAGUUCCAUCUGGGGCCUGGGAAACGAUCACAAUGGAUUUUAUUGAUGGGCUCCCUUCAUCAGGCCAUGCCAACUGUAUUCUAGUGGUCGUGGAUAAGUUUACCAAGUAUGCUCACUUUAUCCCUUUAUCACAUCCUUACACUGCCAGUUCUGUUGCUCAAGUGUUCUUUGUCAACGUGUACAAGCUCCAUGGUCUUCCUUCUGCCAUUAUCUCAGACCGGGAUCCAGUCUUUACCAACAACUUCUGGCAGCAUCUAUUCAAAAUCACUGGAACCGAUCUGAAACUCAGCUCGUCCUACCACCCCCAAACAGAUGGGCAGACCGAGCGUGUCAAUCAAUGUUUGGAAACCUUUUUACGCUGUUUCACCAGUGCUUGUCCAAAAAAGUGGAAGGAUUGGUUGUCUGCAGCAGAGUUUUGGUACAAUACAAGCUUGCAUUCAUCCCUCGGUUGUUCCCCAUUUCAAGCAUUGUAUGGCCGACAGCCUAGGACCCUUGGUCUCACUAUCAAUGACGCUGCUCCAGCAAGUUUGUCCGCUUGGCUGCAGGAACGCUCAGUGAUGCAGGAGCUUAUUCGUCAGCAUCUUCUGCGCGCCCAGUCCAGAAUGAAACGACAUGCUGAUAAACACAGGUCAGAACGUACAUUUCAAGAGGGCGAUUGGGUAUAUCUCCGGCUCCAACCAUAUGUCCAAGCUUCUGUUAUGCCACGUGCACAUCACAAACUGAGUUACAAGUUUUUCGGUCCCUACAAAAUUCUGGACAGAAUUGGACAUGUGGCAUAUCGACUGGCAUUACCUGCUUCUAGUCGCAUUCAUCCGGUGGUGCAUGUGUCUCAACUUAAGCUCGCUAAAGGAUUCAAAGAUCCAGAACCUCUUCCACUACCUGAUGAUAUCCCAGAGAUCAGCGUUCCGUUGCAGAUUAUUCAGUCCCGAGGCAUCACCAAGGGCAGUCGGCUCAUGCAACAGGUCCUGGUGUCAUGGUCUUGGCUCCCUGCUGAAUUGGCAACAUGGGAAGAUCGCGAAGCACUUCAACAAUGUUUUCCCUUUGCUCCUGCUUGGGGACAAGCAGGUCUUCCAGAGGGAGGGAAUGUCAAGGACUUCGAUAUGUCGGUCCAGCAACAGGAGACCAAUAUGCCUGAAGGACGCGCACAUCGUGUUCGACGCAGCAACCCUCGCGUGUAUGGGCCAGAGUGGGUCUAGAGUCCAGUUGGUCUGGUGUAGGCACGACCUGGGAUAUAUAAUCCUUGUACUGUGCCUGAGGACGGCAAGCAAAAACAUAUUCCUGUAAUAAUAGACUGCCUAGCCUCCUCCGUCUUUCUCCGUCUCUCUCUCUGCUUCCUGUGUGCUUCCAUUCUGUUAGAUAGGCUAACACAAA
rnacentral:lncRNA from 1 species